rnacentral:rRNA from 1 species
GUACGCUGGCGGCACGCCUAACACAUGCAAGUCGAACGAAGUAGCAAUACUUAGUGGCAGACGGGUGAGUAACAUGUAGGUAUCUGCCCUUUGGCCUGGAAUAACACGAGGAAACUUGUGCUAAUACCGGAUAAGUCUUUACGGAGAAAGCUUUAUGCGCUAUUGGAUGGGCCCGCGUUAGAUUAGUUUGUUGGUGAGGUAACGGCUCACCAAGGCGACGAUCUAUAGCUGGUCUGAGAGGAUGAUCAGCCACACUGGGACUGAGACACGGCCCAGACUCCUACGGGAGGCAGCAGUGGGGAAUAUUGGACAAUGGGGGCAACCCUGAUCCAGCGAUGCCGCGUGAGUGAUGAAGGCCCUAGGGUUGUAAAACUCUUUCGUCAGGGAAGAUAAUGACGGUACCUGAAGAAGAAGAUCCGGCUAACUCCGU